ensembl:lncRNA
GGAGAGUAGAGCACUAAAACAUAUUCGUCUCUCAAUUGAAAUGCUGCCUAUGUAACAAUUGAGAAAAGGAAGUGCAAGAUGUGGCAUCCAAUUGAAAUUACUGAUGUUGUUUUCCAUACCCAAUGGUUUGCUGCUACUUCUGCUUCUGCAACCCCCUUUGGGACAGCGAGUGAAAAAGAAUAGGUGGGAGGUAUCCAUCUGCCUGCCCCUCUGGACAGGCGCACAGCUGCGUAGUCACAAACCUGUCUGCAAAGUGACUUCCAAGUGAGGACUCUUGGAAAUAGUAACUCCUCACUUCAACAUAUUAAUUCUGGGCCACAGCCUCAUGCAGCCAAGCAAUGGGAAGAGGCUCCAUCCCAGAAUAGCCUGUCCUCUCUUCAGGCCUGGAAGCUACAGCUUUUGAAACCACACAAGGUAUUUUAAGCCGAACUCCCGGAUCUGAAGACAAGAUUUGAGUCUGUUCAGAGCUGUUCUGCUGGCAUCCAACCACAGAACCAAAAUCCUCAUUCAACCCCAAUGAGAUUUUCCUUCCCGGGCACCUCUGAGAUCCUUCAGAACUGAAAAUGCUGGUUUGCCUUUCAUGAACCCAAGUUCCAAUGUUUGCCACCAACGGAGGAAAAAGCCAGCAUUUACCACACAAGGUUUUUUCCUAUACUAAUGGCAGGAAAUACCACAAAUACCAGGAUGAAAUAAAAAUCCACAGCCCCUCCAGAUGCCACAUGAAUUAGCAAGCUCUCAGACCCAGAUGACUUCAUUUUCUUCUGUUGCUACUCCCACUCCCACAUACUCCUGAGAAAAGGACAUCGGUCAUGACAUCAAAGUACAAGAAUCCAUCAAACUGCACUUCUGUAUCUCAUCUUCCCAAGGCUGCACUUGCUCUAUGGUCCCGCUGGCAAGAAGCCACCACAGAAAACAGAUUUACCCUGCUGGGAGCAGCCAGGUCCAAAUCAACAUCAAGCUGAAAUUACUGCAUGGAGCACUAAAAACCUUUGGUUUUGGCUUCUUAUGCAUGCAACUUUUGACUGCAAGCUCUGUCUGAACACGAUCAGCAUUAUUGGUACAACCUGCUCAGGAAAUCUCUAAAAAAGAUUGAGCCACUGCUGUAUGAUGA